UACGUAGGGUCCGAGCGUUGUCCGGAAUUACUGGGCGUAAAGAGCUCGUAGGUGGUUUGUCGCGUUGUUCGUGAAAACUCACAGCUUAACUGUGGGCGUGCGGGCGAUACGGGCAGACUGGAGUACUGCAGGGGAGACUGGAAUUCCUGGUGUAGCGGUGGAAUGCGCAGAUAUCAGGAGGAACACCGGUGGCGAAGGCGGGUCUCUGGGCAGUAACUGACGCUGAGGAGCGAAAGCUAGGGGAGCAAACAGG
rnacentral:rRNA from 1 species